rnacentral:rRNA from 1 species
GAUGAACGCUAGCGGGAGGCCUAACACAUGCAAGCCGAGCGGUAGAGUUCCUUCGGGAACUUGAGAGCGGCGUACGGGUGCGUAACACGUGUGCAACCUACCUUUAUCUGGGGGAUAGCCUUUCGAAAGGAAGAUUAAUACCCCAUAAUAUAAUGAUUGGCAUCAAUUAUUAUUGAAAACUCCGGUGGAUAGAGAUGGGCACGCGCAAGAUUAGAUAGUUGGUGAGGUAACGGCUCACCAAGCCAAUGAUCUUUAGGUGUACUGAGAGGGAGAUCCACCACACUGGUACUGAGACACGGACCAGACUCCGACGCGAGGCAGCAGUGUGGAAGAUUGGACAAUGGGUGAAAGCCUGAUCCAGCCAUCCCGCGUGAAGGAUGACGGUCCUAUGGAUUGUAAACUUCUGUUGUACAGGGAUAAACCUACUCUCGUGAGGGUAGCUGAAGGUACUGUACGAAUAAGCACCGGCUAACUCCGUG